GCCUGAGUGGCUUAGUUCGUUAAGCGUCCGACUUCAGCUCAGGUCACGAUCUCACGGUUUGUGGGUUCGAGCCCCGCACCAGGCU
rnacentral:tRNA from 1 species